rnacentral:rRNA from 1 species
GUGAGGAAUUUUCCGCAAUGGGCGAAAGCCUGACGGAGCAAUGCCGCGUGAAGGAUGAAGGCCUAUGGGUUGUAAACUUCUUUUCUCAGAAAAGAAUUAUGACGGUAUCUGAGGAAUAAGCAUCGGCUAACUCUGUGCCAGCAGCCGCGGUAAGACAGAGGAUGCAAGCGUUAUCCGGAAUGAUUGGGCGUAAAGCGUCUGUAGGUUGUUUAAAAAGUAUUCUGUCAAAGAUUAGGGCUUAACCCUAGAUAGGCAGAAUAAACUUUUAAGCUAGAGUUUGGUAGAGGCAGGUGGAAUUCCCGGUGGAGCGGUGAAAUGCGUAGAUAUCGGGAGGAACACCAAAGGCGAAGGCACUCUGCUGGGCCAAUACUAACACUGAGAGACGAAAGCGAGGGGAGCAAAUGGGAUUAGAAACCCUUGUAGUCC